rnacentral:rRNA from 1 species
GAUGAACGCUGGCGGCGUGCCUAAUACAUGCAAGUCGAGCGAACGGACGAGAAGCUUGCUUCUCUGAUGUUAGCGGCGGACGGGUGAGUAACACGUGGAUAACCUACCUAUAAGACUGGGAUAACUUCGGGAAACCGGAGCUAAUACCGGAUAAUAUUUUGAACCGCAUGGUUCAAAAGUGAAAGACGGUCUUGCUGUCACUUAUAGAUGGAUCCGCGCUGCAUUAGCUAGUUGGUAAGGUAACGGCUUACCAAGGCAACGAUGCAUAGCCGACCUGAGAGGGUGAUAGGCCACACUGGAACUGAGACACGGUCCAGACCCCUACGGGAGGCAGCAGUAGGGAAUCUUCCGCAAUGGGCGAAAGCCUGACGGAGCAACGCCGCGUGAGUGAUGAAGGUCUUCGGAUCGUAAAACUCUGUUAUUAGGGAAGAACAUAUGUGUAAGUAACUGUGCACAUCUUGACGGUACCUAAUCAGAAAGCCACGGCUAACUACGUG